UUAAGAGACAUUUUUUUAAGAGGCAUUUUGAUGUAGUAAGUUUUUGCAUGUGCCCUAAUCGUCAAAAUGUGUCCACGAGAUUUGGAGCCAUCUUGCCUCGAGCCCUCGACGGUGGGCCAACUUCUUGGUCCGCUGACUCGUGGGGCCUCCCAGCCAACAAAAAGUUUGCAGCAACCCAUUGCCGUUCGCCGUGGGACCCACUCGUCAGUAAUCCCCAAUCUCCUGCUGCCUGCCCAAACCACGAGGCUCCUCCUCCAGGUCCUCCGCCCCCCAGGCCACCGGCGAGCUGCGCGGCGGCCGCCGCGCGGCACGUAGCAUCCUCGUCGCGCCUCGUGCGGAGCCACGGCGGUCGCCGACCUCAAGUGAGGGAAAUGGAGGGAGGGGAGGCGCCUGGCUAGGCCAACUGCGGUCGAGCACCCUAGGGGCUGGGCCGACGGUGACGUGCGCCUCGUGGACGCAGUGCGCCGCCGCGAGGCCCUGCGAGCUCUUCGAAAUCGGGGAUGAACUUCGGUAGAGACAGCUCAUUGACAAAGAAAUGGCAUACACACUUUUAUCUUGGACAUGGCAAACAGGAAGCUGAGAUGAUGAGCUGGGCGCUGUAGAACAGAAGAUGAUGGUUUCAUCAUUAACCUUCCUAUGCAGCCUCCUUUGCAAUACAGACUCCUACAUUUUACAUAUGAAGGAAUGGCAAGACCGGGACCUCUCACAUAUGCUCUGUGUAGACAUCCAGAGGAUCACUCAUGGAGACUAAUGGAUGCUCAUCUUCCAGAACAAGCAGACAGAUAACUUCAGUGGAGAGAAGCAGCGCACAGCUCAUUGACAAAAUGUGGGCCCCUUUAUCUUGACACGGCAAACAGGGAGCCAUGGAGAUGAUGAGCAGGACGGUGUAGGCCAGAAGAUGAUGGUUGAACCUUUGUAUGCAGCCUGCCAGGGAUACCAAAUCAUCGACCUUGACCUGCUUUGCAAUCGAGGUGAGGUCCCUGGCCGGACAAGCAGAGCAGGCAAUCUCGACCUCCGCUCGCUUCUCCCGCCGCUGGAUGAUGCUCUGUCUCUGUGUGUGUACUGCGCUGGGCGCUGCAGGAGCCGACAUUGGUGACCACGCAUGCACUUUGCCACUCUGAUGACUGGCGAUGCCCCUUGCCGC